GCGGGAAUGCACCUGAAGACGAAAAUAAACAGAAGAACGAGAAGAAGAGGCUGUGACCCAUGCAACAUUUUAACAUUUUCAGAAGAGUCUUUUUAAAACCCAUUUGUCCAAGAAGAGAUACGCUGAUAACAUAAUUCAUCCAGCAAAAGAAGUGUUAACACCCUGUUGGGAAAAAGAAAAGUCUGAAAUCAGGAGUUUUAGGUGGGUGUUACUUAAAGUGAAAGAAGUUACGUUAAGUUACGAAAACCACCGAUGGCCAGUAAAUGUGCUGUAUCAUUACCGUGUUCGUACUGUUAACAGGUUCAGGUUGUUGAAGUCACUGAAGGAGGCUCUGUCCUCUUGGAGUGCAGUCAAGAAAGUAUUGUGCUUGAAAAUAAACAGCUAACAGUCCACUGGAGACACAACGACAUCAGGAACGUAUUCGAUAUUAUCAAUGGAAACGUUUCUGUAAAGGAACAGGACCCAGCGUACAAGAACAGAGCAGAAGUUUUACCUGAUGAGCUCGAGAAGGGGAACGUCUUUCUCAAUAUCACCGAUCUUCAGCUCUCUGAUGGAGGAACGUAUCUCUGUUUCGUCCCAGAUUUGGGACUUGAGCACAGCACACAGCUGGUGGUCAAAGAAAGAUCAUGCAUAACAUGCACAACUGCUGAAGUAAGAAGCCACGGUACAGGAGCGAGACUUGGAAAAGACUCUGUACCUCCUAAUACAAUCAUCUGGAUUCAUUCUACUUUAUUUGAUUGGAUAGCGAAGCAGUGAGUGAUCCAAAUAUGGCUCGAUUCAGACUAGUUCUUUACUGAUAUACACUACUAUGGUUGUUUACUAUUAAAAAAAACUGUACUUGUAUUGUUGUAUACUUGUACUCUGUGUAAUGCAGUGCUGUUUUUCACUGCUACUGAGAAGUGUAUUGAAGUGAGAUCUGAUGAUAAAGACGAAUAAAG